AGGGAUAUAACUCAGCGGUAGAGUGUCACCCUGACGUGGUGCGAGUCAUCAGUUCGAGUCUGAUUAUCCCUA
rnacentral:tRNA from 3 species